AGUGAACGCUGGCGGUAGGCCUAACACAUGCAAGUCGAACGGCAGCACAGUAAGAGCUUGCUCUUACGGGUGGCGAGUGGCGGACGGGUGAGGAAUACAUCGGAAUCUACUUUUUCGUGGGGGAUAACGUAGGGAAACUUACGCUAAUACCGCAUACGACCUCCGGGUGAAAGCAGGGGAUCUUCGGACCUUGCGCGAUUGAAUGAGCCGAUGUCGGAUUAGCUAGUUGGCGGGGUAAAGGCCCACCAAGGCGACGAUCCGUAGCUGGUCUGAGAGGAUGAUCAGCCACACGGGAACUGAGACACGGUCCAGACUCCUACGGGAGGCAGCAGUGGGGAAUAUUGGACAAUGGGCGCAAGCCUGAUCCAGCCAUACCGCGUGGGUGAAGAAGGCCUUCGGGUUGUAAAGCCCUUUUGUUGGGAAAGAAAAGCAGCAGGUUAAUACCCCGCUGUUCUGACGGUACCCAAAGAAUAAGCACCGGCUAACUUCGUG
rnacentral:rRNA from 1 species